GAGGGAGUUAACUCCCUCUAAUUUCUCUCGAGAAACAUGUAGGGAGUGAAAAUUCAUUCGUCUUCUUCCAUUUUCUGUGGAUCUAAAAAAAUUUCUCUCAAUUUACUCCAAAAAAAUUCACAGAGAAGAAAGGUUAUUCUUCUCCCUCUUAAGCUCUUCCCCCUCUUCCAAAUCUAGGGCAGUGCCCAUCAAUCCUGUUUUUUCUCAAUCCCAAGAAGUAUACAAAAGGUUCGUUUUGUGGUGGUGUCGUGAUCGUAGAAGAGAUCGUGAUCUUGAUCGAGGAAAAUUGUGAAGAAGUGUUCUUCGAGGGUAUGUAUGUUUCUUCAUCUUUUCCCCCCAAAAAAAAGCAUGUUGUAAAUUUAGGUUUAUUGAUGCAUAAUCGUCUUCUUGUUAUUCUGUAAUUAUGAAAUUCUAUGAAAACGAAAAAAUGGGAUUGAUCCCUGCUUCCACUGUGAAACUAUCACUGGCUUUCCUUCAACUUGUUCCUAAGAAAAUAAACAAAAUGAUAUGAUAGAUUUAGCCAAACAAAAAUGAAAACUCCCUAAUAGAAUUGGAAAUCAGAUCGAGAAAAAUUCAUAAAAUCGAGAAAAACAAGAAAAAAAAAUACCCAUCAGAACCACUAGGAUUAACAAUCUUGAUUGAAAAUUGUUGAGAAUCAAAGAAAAGAAGCUUACAAGAAGGUUAAAAACUUAUGAUAAGAUGCGUACUUUGAGGAGAAUUCCUUGUACAAUGAAUUGAGGAUCAAUAGAAAUAGAAGAACUCGGAAGAUGGAGGAAAGGAAAUAGUGGAAUUGGAGUAUUGAGGGAAGGGGGUUAGGCGAUUGGGAGAAGGGGAAAAGAAAGGGGGUUGGGGUUCCCGCAAAAAGAGGGAAAGCAAGGGGAGCUGGGGUUCUGGUGGCUAGGGGAAAGGAAGGGUUAGGGUAAAAGGGAAAAGAAGGUGAAAAGGGAAAAACCCAUUAUCGAGCUUAAAAUGAGAUUUUUAACAAAUCUCUCUGGAUGCUAUAGAUGGUGUCGGGGAAACGCAACUCUUCCGACAGUUUUUUAAAACCACCGAGAUAUGUGUGGAAGAUAAUUAAAUUUUUUAGUUAACAUAUCCUGAUGUCGUAUUGCGUCGAGAAAAGGGAUCUAUCCUGACGUCCAUUAUAUAGCGUACCCACAGUUUUUGCCCACCCAACACCAACAAAAUUCGAAUGGAAUUUGGAACGAUCAUUUCGUUGCUCAUGGAAAUCUUCAUGUCUGAUUUCCUUCAUGUUAUCCAUUUUCUACCUAUGUUUUCAAAAAAUAAUUCAAUUUUUAAAAUAUGAUGUCGUUACAAACUUAUUUCAGUUUUUAGAUUUUGACUAAGAAAUCAUUAAAGAAAUGUGAAAACCAUGGUAAAGAAAUUGGAAAAAAAUAAUAUAAAAUUUUAAAACAUGAAACUAUAAAUGAAAUUUGGUUAUCAAAUAAUUGAUAAGUUUAUAGAGAAGGCAGAUAUAAAUGGAGGUGGAUACAUUAAGGUUUCAACCACAAUUACUAAGGGAUUGAAAAUGAUCUUAAAUACUAAGCCUACGCUCAAUAGACUUUUACAUAAGGAAAUAAACUAACACUAAUUAAUAUAAUACAAAAUGUAUUUACAUCAAUAUAAAUACUCUAAUAUUCAUUAACUUUGAAGUUAAUUGCUUAAAGGUUAAAUUAUAAAUUUAGAUGUUUUAUUUUUAAAAUUGAAUGAUUGUGUCUAUUUAAUCUUUAUAUUUUAAAGAGUUAUCAAUAUGUCUCAUACUUUUAAGGUGUAAUAAAUCGUUGUCAUUAACUUUGUCAAUUUACACUUAUGCCAUGAAGUGUCUAAUUUUUUUUUUUUUUUUUGAAAGAUAUUGUAAUUAAAGUGUGGGAUAGGGGAAUCGAACCUCAAGUCUUGAGGUCGAUAAUAUGAACACUAUGCCACUGCUAUACUCUUGUUAGCACUAAGUGUCUAAAUUUGUCCAAAACUAAUCCCAUCCUUAAAUAGUAAAAUGAGUAUAUUAAUAUAGAUAUAUUAGAUACAAAAUUGAAAAGUCUCUUAUCUAUUAGAUUCAUUUUAAAAUGGUGUUUUGAGAUGAGAACAUUACAAGUCUAAAAGUCUAGUUUAAACGAGAAUUUAGAUAGCUUAAAUUUAUAUAAAAUGAGGGAAUGGAGAGUCGAAUCUAAAAUCCAUCAAUUAAUUAUAUGUAUUUUAAUUAGUUGGACUAAAUUCAGAUUAACAAAGUGUGUUAUUUCAUCUAUAAAAAUGAAAAUACAACCAUAAAACCCUGAAUUUUCAAUUAUUCUCCUACUAUCAUAAAUUGUAAAAGCAAUCACUAUGGCCUUUUAUCCAACUUGCCUACCCCAUCCCUACCCCCCAAUAUCCCUUGCACAACUAUGUUUCCUACGAUCAUCUUUCUCCUUUUUUAUUUUUCCCCACUAAAUCUCUUCCUUCAUCAUGAGCCCCAAUUCUAUCGUCACGUUUUUUUUUUCAUUUUUUUUUUUUAACAUUGAUGAAAAGCUGUGAAACUUGAACUUGAAACUAUGGAGAUAAAUAAUACAUGGAGUGUUGUUUCUUUAUGCCCCAUCACAAACAUUCAUUAAGUGGAAGAAGAUAUACAAAAGUCAAGUAUAAGACCGAUGGAUCUAUAGAAAGAUACAAAGUUUGUUUUGUUGUUAAAGGGUAUUCCCAACGAGGGGGUUUAGAUUUUAUUGAGAUUUUUUGUCGAAAAGCUAGUGUUGUGCGUGUUCUUCUAUGGUUGUUUCUUUGAAUUGGUCCCUUAUUCAUCUUGAUGUGAACAACGAUUUUCUUCGUGGUGAUUUGUUUGAAGAAGUCUACAUGAAUCUACCCUUGGGUUACUCACCAAAAGGACAUGUUUUAAGUCAAGGAGAGCAUCAUGUGUUUAAAUUACAUAAGUCCAUAUAUGGUUUCAAGUAAGUUUCUUGUCAAUAGUUUGGUUUCUCAUCAAUAGUUUACUAAGUUCUCUUCUACCAUUUUAUCUCUUGGUUUUCAAAAAUUUAAGUACGAUUAUUCUCUGUUUUUAAAGGGUUUUGAUUCUAACUUUAUGAUUCUUUGGGUGUAUGUUGAUGAUAUAAUCAUCGUUAGAAUAAAUUCUUCUGUUAUUGCUCAACUAAAGUUCAUUCUCAACAAAAGUUUUAAGCUUAAGGAUUUGGGAGAUCUUAAAUACUUUUUUGGUCUUGAAUUUUCUUGUUCUUCUAAGGGAAUAUACUUGUCACAAAAGCGUUAUCCUUUACAAAUUCUUGAAGAUGUUGGAGUACUUGGAUCUCCCCAUAGAUCCAUCUCAAUUUGCGACAAACUCGUGACGAUUUGUUAGAUGAUCAUUCAUCUUAUAGGAGACUAAUUGGUAGAUUAUUAUAUUUGGCCAUCUUUCGACCUAAUAUUAGUAUUUCUGUCAAAAGACUUGAUCAGUUUGUAUCUAAGUCACAAGUCUCAUCUCUCAGCUACUCAUCAUUUGUUGAAAUAUUUGAAGACAACACCUCGGCAAUAUGUUUUACUUCACCCCACAACUAGUGUUUUGAAGACAAUACUUGGGCAAGGUUGGAGUUCAUAUUGCCUCUAAUCCAACAUUACAUGAAAUGGACAAAACAUACUGUUGGGAAUGACUAGUGGCCCAGGGCCUAUAACAAAAGUAAAAGGAUUUGGAAGCUCUUGUCGCACAUUGGAAGUUUUGAUAAUGAGGAGUGGGUAUAAAUAUAAAGGAGUCUAAAGGAGCUUCCAAAUUGUGAUGUGAUGGAAGUUAGAGCCUUUCUCCAUACGCGCACACCAUCAAUUUAUCCUAACCAUUGUAUUAAUUAAUCCAAACGUUUAGCUUGAGUCUAUUUAUUUUUCAGAACAUUUUUCAAGGCCAUUUAACCUCCAGAAAAUUGUUGUGUUUUUCACCUAUAUAUACAUAGGCAUUUUUGAGUCGGAGAUAGAACAAUCAUCUUCUUCUCUUCUUCUCUGUUUCCUCUCUUCCUAAAACACUGUUAUGAGCAUUCUUUUCUGGUCGAUUCUAUUCCUAGUUUCGGUGAGUGCACGCUUGAAUUAGGGAGUUGUAUUAAUCUUGAGGAGCAAUCGGCAUACACGAUUUAGUACCAAGACUGCACCGAAAUUUACUUUCAAGAUAGUGAUUUCUACGACACAAACAAUACAUAUCCAACUUAUCAACGACUAACAAUAAAUUUGUUCCACACUCUAGUUUUACGAUUCGAAAGCAAGUCAUUUGAAAUCUCGGUCGAGAUUGGAGUCGAAAUCUGAACUAAAUUUGUUUUUGGUAAACAAUAUUCGUCUUUAUUUGGUCUGUUGGAAGAGUUGUCUUUGUCUCGAUCUUCGUUCUCUCUGCUGGCAAGAGUAAGCAAUUUUAUUUCUUCUUUAAUUUGUUGCCCCUUGGACUAAUAUGAGGUUUCUUUACUAGAAAUUUUAAUUUGUUAGCAUUUGGAGUAUGUGAUUGUCUUUUGACUUAUCUGAGACUUUUAUUUUAAUUUGUGUUGUUAUCUCUUGAAUGUCGAUUUGAAUUCUAAUAACAUAUGUUAGGGAACUUUCUAUUUUGCUUAAUAGAAAUCAAUGAGUUUAUUCUUGAUAAAUUGAAUAGGAAAAUUUAAAUCUCUUUGGAAUUUUGAAGCUUGUCUUUGGAGAUAUUGAAUGUUUCUGCAGGGGAUGAUAAACCUCUUUUGGAUCUUUAUUUCAUUUUUCAUUUUGUUGUUGGGAAGAAAUUUUGAAAGAUUUAUUAUGAUUCUCUAAUUUUGAGCUAAGGGAUGAUAUGAAAUUAGGAAAGACUUUUCAUUCAAAAUUGAGAAGAAAAGUAGAUAUUGGGCAUAAUAAAUUAAGGAAAAAAUGAUGACUCAAAUAAAUAAAUAAAUAAUAUAUGUAUGUAUAUUUUAGCGGUCGGUUCACCUAGGCACUGCAAGUCCCAUUGUUAGAUCCUAGCUCAAUCAACGUUGAGUAAAACAGUAUAUGAAUGGUUGAAAAUUUUGCUGAAGAAAAUGUAAUUUGCAGGCUUCCUAAUGUAUUGAUUAAUAGAAGACUUUUAAGUCUAUAAUGGAUGUUUUUCUUAAUAAAAAAAAAAAAAAAAAAA